UGGUCGCAGGUUCGAAUCCUGCACGACCCACCAAUUUCAGCAUUUAACUCAGAUGCUGAACGUGAAGGAUAACGUUGCGUCAGCAACGGCCCGAAGGGCGAGGCAAAGCCGAGUCAUCCUGCACGACCUACCA
rnacentral:sRNA from 1 species